rnacentral:rRNA from 1 species
GACGUAGGGGGCGAGCGUUGUCCGGAUUUAUUGGGCGUAAAGCGCGCGUAGGCGGCCGCGCACGUCGGAUGUGAAAACCCGGGGCUCAACCCCGGGCGUGCAUUCGAUACUGCGCGGCUCGAGACAGGUAGGGGAGAUCGGAAUUCCUGGUGUAGCGGUGAAAUGCGCAGAUAUCAGGAGGAACACCGGUGGCGAAGGCGGAUCUCUGGGCCUGUUCUGACGCUGAGGCGCGAAAGCUAGGGGAGCGAACAGG